rnacentral:rRNA from 1 species
UACGGUAGGGGGCAAGCGUUGUCCGGAAUCAUUGGGCGUAAAGAGCGUGUAGGCGGCCUGGUAAGUCCGCUGUGAAAGUCCAGGGCUCAACCCUGGAAUGCCGGUGGAUACUGUCGGGCUAGAGUUCGGAAGAGGCAAGUGGAAUUCCUGGUGUAGCGGUGGAAUGCGCAGAUAUCAGGAGGAACACCUAUAGCGAAGGCAGCUUGCUGGGACGACACUGACGCUGAGGCGCGAAAGCGUGGGGAGCGAACAGG